AUUGAACGCUGGCGGCCGGCCUAACACAUGCAAGUCGAGAGGAGCGGCGGACGGGUGAGUAAUGCCUAGGAAUCUGCCUGGUAGUGGGGGAUAACGUCCGGAAACGGGCGCUAAUACCGCAUACUAUCAGAUGAGCCUAGGUCGGAUUAGCUAGUGGGUGGGUUAACGGCCUACCAAGGCGACGAUCCGUAACUGGUCUGGGAGGAUGAUCAGUCACACGGGAACUGAGACACGGUCCAGACUCCUACGGGAGGCAGCAGUGGUGAAUAUUGGACAAUGGGCGAAAGCCUGAUCCAGGCAUGCCGCGUGUGUGAAGAAGGUCUUCGGAUUGUAAAGCACUUUAAGUUGGGAGGCGUGACCAACAGAAUAAGCACCGGCUAACUUCGUGCCAGCAGCCGCGGUAAUAC
rnacentral:rRNA from 1 species